UGGGCGAAGCCUGAUCCAGCAACGCCGCGUGAGGGAUGACGGCCUUCGGGUUGUAAACCUCUUUCAGUACCGACGAAGCGAAAGUGACGGUAGGUACAGAAGAAGCACCGGCCAACUACGUGCCAGCAGCCGCGGUAAUACGUAGGGUGCGAGCGUUGUCCGGAAUUAUUGGGCGUAAAGGGCUCGUAGGCGGUUUGUCGCGUCGGGAGUGAAAACACUGGGCUUAACUCAGUGCUUGCUUCCGAUACGGGCAGACUAGAGGUAUGCAGGGGAGAACGGAAUUCCUGGUGUAGCGGUGAAAUGCGCAGAUAUCAGGAGGAACACCGGUGGCGAAGGCGGUUCUCUGGGCAUUACCUGACGCUGAGGAGCGAAAGUGUGGGGAGCGAACAGGAUUAGAUACCCUGGUAGUCCACACCGUAAACGUUGGGCGCUAGGUGUGGGAUCCAUUCCGGACGGGUUCCGUGCCGCAGCUAACGCAUUAAGCGCCCCGCCUGGGGAGUACGGCCGCAAGGCUA
rnacentral:rRNA from 1 species